rnacentral:tRNA from 1 species
ACUGAAAUAGCUUAGUUGGUAGAGCGUCAGACCAUAAAUCGAAAGCUGCUUGGUUCAAUCCCCGGUUCCGGCA